UUAGAUGUAUGGCAUCCACUGGGGGUCUUGGAACAUAUCCCCCGCAGAUAAUGGGGGGACUACUGUACUGUAAGAUUUAUUGCUCUUCAAUCCAAAUCUCAUCAUGUUAUACUCGAUUAAAAUCUAUCGUUGCUCCUGCAUGACCGUAAAGACAAAGUCUAAACUUCCUAGUUUUGCAAAAGACCUUUCACAAGCUUUAGUCUCAAUUCACGCAACUCCCCACGGUGUGUAGUAUUAGUAUUCUCUGGCCUCAGUGAACUCAUUAGACUUUUGAAAACUAUUCCUGAAUACAUCAGGCCUUUCUGUGACUUCACGUAUGCCACCUAUUAUGCUUAGAAUGCCUUCCCCGACUCCUUUACUAAAAGAAUAAAAAUAAGUGUUCCUAUUGGUCCUUCAAGAACCAGCUCAAAUUAUGCUUUCUCCUCAAGGCGUUUUGGCUAUCUGUUGCCGUGGAAUAAGUUACUUUACAACAUCACCACUUUUAAAACAACAAACAUUUAUUAUCUCACAGUUUCUAUGGCCAAGAAUUUGGGUGGAGCUUAACCCGUGGUUCCAACAGAGGGAAUCUCAUGCAGCCAAGACGUUGGCUGGGCCUGCAGGGGUCUGAAGCCUUAACAGGGCUGGAGAAUCUCCUUCCUAGAUGGCUCCCUCUCAUGGCUGUUGGCAAAAGCUCCUUGUUGGCUGUUGGCAGGAUGCCUCAGUUCCUUGCAACGUGGACCUCCCUACAGGGCUGCCUAAGUGUUCUAAUGCUGUGACAACAGGCCUAGAGCGAGACCCUGAGAGAGAGAGAGCAAGGAGGAAAUGGCUUUUCAGAGAAACGCUAUCUCCUCUGCCACAUUCUAUUGACUGGAAGCCAAUCACUAAAUCCGGAUAACACUCAAGGAGAUCCUCCAACGUUUGGGGGAGGAUUGUCAAAGAAUUUAAAGACAUCUUAUGGCACAGUAGUCCCCCCGUUGUCUGUAGGGGAUACAUUCCAAGACCCCCAGUGGAUGCCUGACACCACAGAUACUACCAAACCCUAUAUAUACGAUGUGUUUUCCUAUAUGUUCAUGCCUAUGAUAAAGUUUAAUUUCUAAAUUAGGUACACUAAGGAUUAACAGCAGUAACUAAUAAUCAGAUAGAAGAAUUAUAACGUAUCCUGGUUUUGUGAAUGUGAUCUCUCUCUCUCUCUCUCAAAAUAUCUUAUUGGACUCUUCUCGCCCUUCUUCUUCUUGCGAUGAUGUGAGAUGAUACAAUGCUCCUGUGAUGAGAUGAAGUGAGGGGAAUGAUGUAGGCAUUGUGAGGUAGCUUUAGGCUGCUGCUGACCUGGGGAUGCAUCAGAAGGAGGAGCAUCUACUUCUGGACCACGCUUGACUAUGGGAGUUCCAAAUUGGGGAAGAUGUCUAUGGAGCAGGAUCACUGAGUCCCUACAACCUGCACCUCCUCCCACCCCAACUAGGUCCUAAGACUCAGUGCAUCAGAGUCCGAGGAGAUGAAGUCACCAACCACCCUGGACAGACCAAGCAUCACCAUGAGAGCUACACCUAUGACCUUUGCCUUAUUUUUAAUGCUAAGAUCUCUCCAGGAGGAGCUUAGGCCUUAUCGCUGUAACCUGCGGUGUAUGUGGAAGCAUGUUUUCCAACUGAGCCUGUGCAAGCGAAUACCCACCUCUCCUUGUUGAAUAUUCAUCCACAUCCGAAAUAAAAGGUCCCUGCUUCUCUUUGUUUGGAGGACACCAUGACUCUGGAAACAAUUCCACAUGGUCUCCUGUUUGCCGCAAAUACACUUUACUUUGUGAGACAACUGCUUCUGGUGGAGAGUCUGAUUUAACUUAUCCGGAGGGAACCCACUUUGGUUUCAUAACAAACCUAUGGCAUGCACUAGGAUGGCAGUGAUAAACCAGGUGAACUUUAUCCUUGCAGUUAUAGAAUUUAAAGCUUGGUGUGAUGCCUUUAACCUGUGCUCUGAGAAACCUUGAAGGUUUCAGGGAUGCCUCAGGGCAACCAGCGAGGUGAGUGGGGUAGGAGGAGAGGGGCCUGAAGUUCCCAGCUCAUUGUUUCCCCAGACUCAAUGUGUUGUCCUUUUUCUGUUUCACCCAUUGAGCAACCUUUGAAGAUGCUGAAUGUUACUAUUGACAAAUAAAUGAAAAGCAGUAGGAUAUAUUGGAGUAGAUGAAGAAGCCAUUUGGGUUAAAACUAAUUCAGCCUGACCUUGUUUUUUCAAAAGGGUCUGAUGUGGCCCGUUGAGCAUGCAUCGUACAUCUGCUUUAACUACUUACUGUGUCCCAAAGAUAAGAAUGAUGCCCUUAAAGAUAGGGAUGUAACUUCCCUCCAUAUUCGCGUUGCUUUAAGGAUAAGCAUCUCAUCCUGGGAGCUAAGGAUUACUGACCUGCUGUGCUCACCUUGUCACCACUGACCUGCUGAGCCAGCUAAGCAUCCCCUGACAGUAGUACAAGGGACAUUCCUAUCAUAUGUAAUGUAUGCUCUUUGUUUCAAGAUGGUUUAUAACCAAUCUGUACACCCCACUUCUUUGCUGCCCUUCCUUCCUUGGGGAAGGGAGGCCCCGGGUUAUAGUCCUCAGACCUGGCUCAUGAUAAACUCACCCCCAUUUUGAUUUAUAGAUUGAUUAUGGAUUGUUUGCAUCGACACAGUGGAUUAUAAAACAUAGUCACUGCACUCCAGAAGAUUUUAAUCUAGUAAUAUUUAAUACUAGUUUCAACUAUUUUAAGCUUAAGGCUAUUGGGAUGAACUCUGCCAGGUUACAACUAAGCUGUGAAGCCUCCUGCAAAAUUUCUUGCUGCCGAAGUUCAAGAGCACACUCUUAGGCUGGUGGAGAGACAUUUGGGAGCAGUAGUUGCUGAGCACUCAGGAGAGUGUGGGCUCCUUACUUUGCCAAUCAGUGUGCUUAAGCUUUGCUGCACAGCACUACGUACUCACACUCAAGACAUGCUAGGGAUUGACUGAGAUUUUGGCCAUCAAGAUGAAGAAGAACUAAAAUAAGUCUUAGGGAUGAGCAGUGACUGCUUUCCCACGAUUGAUUGCAGCAGGUCAUGUGUCACUAGGCCAAGCUGAGCACUGCUGCCCCACAUUAGCCCACGUGGUAGUUUAUUUACUGCUCGUGGCUGCUGAGUAAAUGGUUGUGGAGCUGAACUGAAUAGGAGCAGAGGUCUUUCCUUUAGAGAUGACUCAGCUGUGUAGAGACGUGCCUGGAGUCAGGAAUUGGCGACUGUUGACCCUUCACAUGGUGCUUAAAGGAUAAGCACCUUUAAGGAUAGGUGAUAAAGGACAGGGUUCCUUUAUCCUCAGGCAAGGCUGCCCUUAUUGGUAGAAUGACUGCGUCCUCAGAGUGAUUUGGUUUGAGGGAACUCUGCUAGAAAGCAUCUCUUCCCAGGUACCCCUCUGGGUUUUAGAGUCAGCAAUUAAAUUCUUUUUCUAAUGGUUAAAGCAGUUUGUCUGAAAACACCCCUAUUAAGAUAUGGAUCCCUCACUCCCCAUGCUCUCCCAAGGUGCGGCCUAAGUUAUUGUCAUACAUUUGAAUCUUAUGAGUAUUAGUUAAUUCAUCAGAUUGACUUCAGUUAAUUUGCAGUGACUUGAGUAACAAGGGCUCAUUGAAAGAAAGGCAGAAAUGUGUGUUCAGAGCACAAAGCUGCCUGCAUUAAGGAUCUAGGAUACUGUAAGGGCACAAAACCCUAAACUAUUUCCUCCACAGUUUUGUCUCUGGCCCGUUCUAACUUUUAGUGUUAUAAUUCCCAGCUGCAAGAGACGGGGCGCCGAAGCUGAAAGCUGUUUUCAUGGGGAAAAGGCGAUAAAUCCUUUCGUAUGUCCAUUUUUAGGUAUGGUCCUGAACCAUAUCUGUACCAAAGGAAAAGAAAAUAAUGAAUGCAAGACAGAGAGGAUCCAUGAGAGUUCUCCAUAUUUGCUACUAGACUUUUAUUCUAGGAUAAUAGAGGAAUUUCUACCAAGACCAAAAAUUGCUCUUUUAUUUAAGUAUGAUGUCUGUAGAAUAGAUAUAUUCCAUGCUUUAAUAUUUUUUAGGUAAUCACAGACAAAAAGAAUGUAUUUUUAAAUCUGAAAUGAAACACAUGGAAGCCUGUGUUAGGUUUUGGAUUUGAAAUUUUUCAGAGUUCUGGAAUUUUAAAACUAAAAGGUUCUAUUAAUUUUUUUUAAUUUUUAACAUUUCAGAAGACAUAAAAUAUAUAGGAAUCUUUGGUCUGGCCUAAAAUCACGUUGAGUAUUAUGAAGAUUAAUUUUGCAUGCUUAUCUGCUUAAUGAGAUCUGAUGAAUAGCUGGCUUGUAAUCAGAAUGAGGUAAUACGAAGACAGCUUUUUCAAGACUAGACACACAGUUGACUCAUUAGGUAAUUUCUGUUUACCAUUGCUUUAUCCUCCUCUACUCGGAGACCUCAGUAGACCAAACAUGUUUAGUAUCUUAGGUAAAAAUAGAUUAACUAUUACCUUUUGCUUGGAAAUUCAAAGACCCCUGGACAUCUGUCCGAAAAUGGAAUGUGAUAGGGCAAAGACAUUAAACUAUGACGCAUGGGUUAGAAAAAUCUAAACAUACUUCUAAACGGGUCACUUUCUCUAAUUACCAUCUUGAGUUUUAUUCUGGAACGUUUGUUGUCAAAAGCUAAAUUCCAUAAGUUUGUGUGAAUAUUUUUGAUCAAUAUGCAAAGUCACCAAUCUCCAAUGACUCCCCGUUACCAAUAAAGUGCAGAUUAUUUUGCCUUUUA